rnacentral:lncRNA from 1 species
GAUAUCAUGACCCAUUAAAAAUAACAACAAGCAGUAAGGCUAAUACUCUGCCACCUCAGCCUUGCAGAUGCUUCUACAAUAUAUGGACACCUACAAAUGAGACCUUCACACCUUACAGCUGCAGUAAACAAGAGAACAUUGAUAAUUGUGACUCCAAAGAUUCUAAUUCUCUCUGGAUAUACUGUGUUAUUUCUAACACAUUGAAGAAAAAGGAGGAGACAAAUAUUUCAUCUUCGCCCUCAUGGCCUCAUCUAGAAGCCAUGAAGGCCCUGACUCUUAAUAUAGGACCCAUGAACUCUCACCUGUAA